GACCGUUUCGUCGAGCUCCGUGUUUCCAGGUUGAAAGUGGACAGUUUUCCAUCAGUUUUUAUCCGAAUUUAACUGAACUUUAGUGUUGAAAUCACUAAUGAUCAAGAUUUGAUCAAAAGUUCUAAGAAUCUAAGUGUGAAUUUGUGACGAUUUUCGAUAUUCGGUUUGCGAGGUUAAACGUCUUACUUCGCCAUGGCGUUUGCUGUGCAAUUUAAUUAGGAUUUUUUGCUCAAAAACUGAAUGAAUUUCGGGUUAAAAGCUACAAAUUCGAAACUCCAGUGAAUUUUUAAUAUAUUUUGACGCUUAUUACUUUUUCUUACGUGAGUUAACAUACUAAAAGUGCUUUCAUAUGGACAUAUUAAAAAUAAGGACCAUCAUCUCCAAAAUGAAUUUGUUAUAAUACCUAUUGUGAAUUUGUGAAUGUUGAUCGUGUCUUUCCACUGUGAAAAUUUGAAUUUGAAGUACAGGGAUUAGGACGGAGCUGCUAUCGCCUCUACAAGGGACUCCGCAAAGAGUUUCUGAUGGAAUUUAAUUGUGCACUGAUAUGAUCAAAUAUUAUUUAAAUAUUUACCCCAUCCGAGGACGAUGUACCCAGUAAUACUGGAAUUGGAAUCCGUGAAUAGUGCAAGAAACACUAGAUUAUGAAGAUAUAGUCCUUCAAUUAGAAUCCAGGAGUAGUUCGCUAGGAUGAAAUACUGCCAAAAGCUCGUGAAGAUUUUACAAUCCAGAUUAGUUUCUAGUCCAGCUACCAGGUAGCUUUCGCCAUUUUUCACAAUUAUAUCCGACGCUAGUCCAAUUCCAGACACGAAAAGAAUAUCCUUCAGAAGAGCCAUAAAAGACCUUGACAUAAACGAUGCGAACAGGUGCAUGUGUAGAAUGUUCCUUGGACAUCGCAGUUUCCUGUACCAAUUAACAAACAGAAGUAACAUUUGGAAUUUCUGACCCACCUAUUGCACUUUGCUCAACGAAAUGAAUAUUUUACUGAUUUAUUCAUGGGAAAAAGGUUGACCGUUUUAAAGAAUUUUUUGACUAAAUUAAGAUAACUAAUAUGACGCGUAGGUAUGAUGGACUCAAGAAAAUCGCAUUGACAAAGCAUUUUGGUUAUUUUUCUACCAGUCAGUGAAUUGAUGAAAAAACGAAUGCUAGUAUGUAUACUUACUUGAUGGCUGCUAAAAUGCAAAAUGCAAUAACCAGAGUGAAAAAGGACAAAGUGUAUCCAACUUUUGAGAUCGUUUUCACAACAGCUGAUACUUUGGUGGAUCUGUGAGUGAAAGAUUUUUCCGUCUUAACCCGUAAACUUGAGAAAAAUCUGAUGUCAAGCCAUGAAAAUCGAAUAAGAGAAGCCGUCCACUUUUAAAAGUACAAAGAGAAAAGUAAAUUUCCGGAGCGAUGAAAAUAUCGAAAAGGAGGGAAAAGCUACAAUAAGACUAUCAAAUUCAGCCGACAGAAAUACGGAGAGACAGAGGACUUUAAAGCUUUCCCCGUAAUAAGAAAUCAUUCUAUAAAUACUUGAAUGUUAUACACUGAGAGACCUUUUGUUAAAAUAAAUAAAAAAAACUGAAUUUUAAUUUAGUAUAAUA